rnacentral:rRNA from 1 species
GGGACCCUAUACAUGCAAGUAGAACGCUGAAGAGAGGAGCUUGCUCUUCUUGGAUGAGUUGCGAACGGGUGAGUAACGCGUAGGUAACCUGCCUUGUAGCGGGGGAUAACUAUUGGAAACGAUAGCUAAUACCGCAUAACAAUGGAUGACACAUGUCAUUUAUUUGAAAGGGGCAAUUGCUCCACUACAAGAUGGACCUGCGUUGUAUUAGCUAGUAGGUGAGGUAAUGGCUCACCUAGGCGACGAUACAUAGCCGACCUGAGAGGGUGAUCGGCCACACUGGGACUGAGACACGGCCCAGACUCCUACGGGAGGCAGCAGUAGGGAAUCUUCGGCAAUGGGGGCAACCCUGACCGAGCAACGCCGCGUGAGUGAAGAAGGUUUUCGGAUCGUAAAGCUCUGUUGUAAGUCAAGAACGGGUGUGAGAGUGGAAAGUUCACACUGUGACGGUAGCUUACCAGAAAGGGACGGCUAACUACGUGCCAGCAGCCGCGGUAAUACGUAGGUCCCGAGCGUUGUCCGGAUUUAUUGGGCGUAAAGCGAGCGCAGGCGGUUUGAUAAGUCUGAAGUUAAAGGCUGUGGCUCAACCAUAGUUCGCUUUGGAAACUGUCAAACUUGAGUGCAGAAGGGGAGAGUGGAAUUCCAUGUGUAGCGGUGAAAUGCGUAGAUAUAUGGAGGAACACCGGUGGCGAAAGCGGCUCUCUGGUCUGUAACUGACGCUGAGGCUCGAAAGCGUGGGGAGCGAACAGGAUUAGAUACCCUGGUAGUCCACGCCGUAAACGAUGAGUGCUAGGUGUUGGAUCCUUUCCGGGAUUCAGUGCCGCAGCUAACGCAUUAAGCACUCCGCCUGGGGAGUACGACCGCAAGGUUGAAACUCAAAGGAAUUGACGGGGGCCCGCACAAGCGGUGGAGCAUGUGGUUUAAUUCGAAGCAACGCGAAGAACCUUACCAGGUCUUGACAUCCCGAUGCUAUUUCUAGAGAUAGAAAGUUACUUCGGUACAUCGGUGACAGGUGGUGCAUGGUUGUCGUCAGCUCGUGUCGUGAGAUGUUGGGUUAAGUCCCGCAACGAGCGCAACCCCUAUUGUUAGUUGCCAUCAUUCAGUUGGGCACUCUAGCGAGACUGCCGGUAAUAAACCGGAGGAAGGUGGGGAUGACGUCAAAUCAUCAUGCCCCUUAUGACCUGGGCUACACACGUGCUACAAUGGUUGGUACAACGAGUUGCGAGUCGGUGACGGCGAGCUAAUCUCUUAAAGCCAAUCUCAGUUCGGAUUGUAGGCUGCAACUCGCCUACAUGAAGUCGGAAUCGCUAGUAAUCGCGGAUCAGCACGCCGCGGUGAAUACGUUCCCGGGCCUUGUACACACCGCCCGUCACACCACGAGAGUUUGUAACACCCGAAGUCGGUGAGGUAACCUUUUGGAGCCAGCCCGCGUAAAGGGG